rnacentral:rRNA from 1 species
AGGGCGCACGGUGGAUGCCUUGGCACUAGGAGCCGAUGAAGGACGGGACUAACACCGAUAUGCUUUGGGGAGCUGUACGUAAGCUAUGAUCCAGAGAUUUCCGAAUGGGGGAACCCAGCAUCUUUAAUAGGAUGUUACGAUUGUGUGAAUACAUAGCACAUUCGAGGUAGACGCAGAGAACUGAAACAUCUAAGUACCUGCAGGAAGAGAAAGAAAAUUCGAUUCCCUGAGUAGCGGCGAGCGAAACGGGAAAAGCCCAAACCAACAAGCUUGCUUGUUGGGGUUGUAGGACUCCAAUAUGGUCGUUCUUUCAGAUAGUCGAAUGACUUGGAAAAGUCAGUCAAAGAGGGUAAAAACCCCGUAGACGAAAUGUGGAAGACACCUAGGAGGAUCCUGAGUACGGCGGAACACGAGAAAUUCCGUCGGAAUCCGGGAGGACCAUCUCCCAAGGCUAAAUACUCCCUAGUGACCGAUAGUGAACCAGUACCGUGAGGGAAAGGUGAAAAGCACCCCGGAAGGGGAGUGAAAUAGAACCUGAAACCGUGUGCCUACAACAAGUCAAAGCCCGUUAAUGGGUGAUGGCGUGCCUUUUGUAGAAUGAACCGGCGAGUUACGAUUGCAUGCGAGGUUAAGUUGAAGAGACGGAGCCGCAGCGAAAGCGAGUCUGAAUAGGGCGUUUGAGUAUGUAGUCGUAGACCCGAAACCAUGUGAUCUACCCAUGUCCAGGUUGAAGGUGCGGUAAAACGCACUGGAGGACCGAACCCACGUACGUUGAAAAGUGCGGGGAUGAGGUGUGGGUAGCGGAGAAAUUCCAAACGAACUUGGAGAUAGCUGGUUCUCUCCGAAAUAGCUUUAGGGCUAGCCUCGGAAUUGAGAAUGAUGGAGGUAGAGCACUGUUUGGACUAGGGGCCCAUCUCGGGUUACCGAAUUCAGAUAAACUCCGAAUGCCAUUCAUUCAUAUCCGGGAGUCAGACUGUGAGUGAUAAGAUCCAUAGUCGAAAGGGAAACAGCCCAGACCACCAGCUAAGGUCCCAAAAUAUAUGUUAAGUGGAAAAGGAUGUGGGGUUGCACAGACAACUAGGAUGUUGGCUUAGAAGCAGCCACCAUUUAAAGAGUGCGUAAUAGCUCACUAGUCGAGUGACCCUGCGCCGAAAAUGUACCGGGGCUAAACAUAUUACCGAAGCUGUGGAGUACACCUUUAGGUGUAUUGGUAGGAGAGCGUUCUAAGGGCGUCGAAGGCAGAUCGUGAGGACUGCUGGAGCGCUUAGAAGUGAGAAUGCCGGUAUGAGUAGCGAAAGACAGGUGAGAAUCCUGUCCACCGAAUGACUAAGGUUUCCUGGGGAAGGCUCGUCCGCCCAGGGUUAGUCGGGACCUAAGCCGAGGCCGAUAGGCGUAGGCGAUGGAUAACAGGUUGAUAUUCCUGUACCCGUUGUUUUUGUUUGAGCAAUGGAGGGACGCAGGAGGCUAAGGAAUGCAGACGAUUGGAAAUGUCUGUCCAAGCAGUAAGUCUGAAGAGGAGUCAAAUGCUUCUUUUCUUAAGGACAAGCUGUGAUGGGGAGGGAAAUAAUAGUACCGAAGUUCCUGAUGUCACACUGCCGAGAAAAGCUUCUAGUGAGAAAACAGCGGCCCGUACCGCAAACCGACACAGGUAGUCGAGGAGAGAAUCCUAAGGUGAGCGAGAGAACUCUCGUUAAGGAACUCGGCAAAAUGACCCCGUAACUUCGGGAGAAGGGGUGCUGAUCAUACGAUCAGCCGCAGUGAAUAGGCCCAAGCGACUGUUUAUCAAAAACACAGGUCUCUGCAAAAUCGUAAGAUGAAGUAUAGGGGCUGACGCCUGCCCGGUGCUGGAAGGUUAAGAGGAGUGCUUAGCGCAAGCGAAGGUACGAAUUGAAGCCCCAGUAAACGGCGGCCGUAACUAUAACGGUCCUAAGGUAGCGAAAUUCCUUGUCGGGUAAGUUCCGACCCGCACGAAAGGCGUAACGAUUUGGGCACUGUCUCAACGAGAGACUCGGUGAAAUUUUAGUACCUGUGAAGAUGCAGGUUACCCGCGACAGGACGGAAAGACCCCAUGGAGCUUUACUGUAGUUUGAUAUUGAGUGUCUGUACCGCAUGUACAGGAUAGGUAGGAGCCGUAGAAAUCGGAACGCUAGUUUCGAUGGAGGCGCUGGUGGGAUACUACCCCUGCGUUAUGGCCACUCUAACCCGCACCACUAAUCGUGGUGGGAGACAGUGUCAGAUGGGCAGUUUGACUGGGGCGGUCGC